rnacentral:rRNA from 1 species
AAGUUUGAUGGCGACCGGCGCACGGGUGAGUAACACGUAUCCAACCUGCCGAUGACUCGGGGAUAGCCUUUCGAAAGAAAGAUUAAUACCCGAUGGCAUAGUUCUUCCGCAUGGUAGAACUAUUAAAGAAUUUCGGUCAUCGAUGGGGAUGCGUUCCAUUAGUUUGUUGGCGGGGUAACGGCCCACCAAGACUACGAUGGAUAGGGGUUCUGAGAGGAAGGUCCCCACAUUGGAACUGAGACACGGUCCAAACUCCUACGGGAGGCAGCAUG